AAACCAGCACCUCAAGUGGUCAGGAGGAUUAUUGGGCCUAAAGCAUCCGUAGCCUGUUCUAUAAGUUUCCGGUUAAAUCCAUUAGCUUAACUAAUGGGCUGCCGAAAAUACUGUAGAACUAGGGAGUGGGAGAGGUAGACGGUAUUCGGUAGGAAGGGGUAAAAUCCUUUGAUCUAUUGAGGACCACCUGUGGCGAAGGCGGUCUACCAGAACACGUUCGACGGUGAGGGAUGAAAGCUGGGGGAGCAAACCGGAUUAGAAACCCUGGUAGUCC
rnacentral:rRNA from 1 species